CAUAACGUCUCACUUCAGAAACUCCACAGCUAGUGUGCAUCAUGUGCCAGGUACAGAAAGCUAGUGUGCAUCUUGUGCCGGGUACAGGACAUGUGACUGUAUCGUAAUCCGAGUUCAGACAUAACGCCAAGCGUCUCGCAAAUGUGCCAGGUACAUUAUUUUAACCUGAACCCCUAGAUAAUGUGCCAGGCACAUUAUUCUUAAGCUUGGGAGUACCUGCAUGAUGACAGCGAAAUCAGAAACACAAUACAGAUUUCCUUUUGCGAACCCUUUUACUUGCCUACUUUGACCUGCAAAACACAGACAUCAAGUUUAAUCACCAAUUUCCGAACUGCACCCAAAACCAAACAACGAUUUGGGUGUACUGCUCCCAAAUAAACUACUCCAGACAGCAAAAUGGGGAUGCGCAAGCAAAAAAAUAUCACAUAUUCACCUGGGUGGAUCAGGACAAUACCAAACGGCGUGGGAUCUCCCCAGCGGCGGUGCCCCGGCGCGGGAUAGCAUCGGCGGCGAUUCCGGUGCCGCAGGCCCGGACCUGCCGCUGAUUCCCCGCCUCCCCUUGUCCCCUUGUCCCAGCAACUCUCGCCUCCGCUCAGAUCCGUGUUCUCUCCAUGUCCAAUCUGAAAUGAAUCCGCCUCCCCCGGCGCCUAGCAUUCUCCUGUGGAAAGAAUUAAACACUGACUCUUAGCCAAAGAGAUAGUUCAACGCAGAAUGAAAAAAAAUCAAGAAAGCGGAAACAAAUCGCCGCAAGGGAACUAGUAGUAGUGGUCAAUGAGCCCAAUCGAGCCCAAAUCAACAACAACCAGCAAGGAAGCAAUUCAGCGAACACCUGAGCUGCACGCACGCAAGAACGAAUGGAUCAAGCAGCAGAGGAAACGGGACGCAUCGUGGCGGGAUGGAUGGAUGAUGAAUCACCUCUGGUUUCGGCGAGGCAGCGCUGCACGAAGCCGAGGUCGGAGGUGUAGUUGAAGGGCCCGUUCCAGUCCCCCUGCCUGCGCAAAUCACAGCCCGGAUCAAUCACCGCCAAAUCAAAGUCGUCGGGCUCGUACAGCAGAAGAGAGCAAGUCCUGCGUGCCGUGCGUGCGGAAACAGAAACAGA
rnacentral:lncRNA from 1 species